AUAUUUUCUGUGUUGAUGUAAUGUACUCAGGUGAAUAUAUGAGUCUCAGAGUAACAUCACAAGCAUAUAUUCACCUGAGUACAUUGCAUCAACACAGAAAAUAUCAUGAUUACUA